AGUAGGGAAUAUUGGUCAAUGGAGGCAACUCUGAACCAGCCAUGCCGCGUGAACGAUGAAGGCCUUCGGGUUGUAAAGUUCUUUUGUAUGGGAAGAAACUCACCCUUGCGAGGGUGCUUGACGGUACCAUAAGAAUAAGCACCGGCUAACUCCGUGCCAGCAGCCGCGGUAAUACGGAGGGUGCAAGCGUUGUCCGGAAUUAUUGGGUUUAAAGGGUGCGCAGGCGGUUUUGUCAGUCAGAGGUUAAAGACCGGAGCUUAACUCCGAGUUUGCCUUUGAUACUGCAAGACUUGAAAUACAUAUGGGUAGGCGGAAUUCCUCAUGUAGCGGUGAAAUGCACAGAUAUGAGGAGGAAGACCGAAGGCGAAGGCAGCUUACUGGGUGUUAUUUGACGCUGAGGCACGAAAGCGUGGGGAGCGAA
rnacentral:rRNA from 1 species